rnacentral:rRNA from 1 species
UACAGAGGGGGCAAGCGUUGUUCGGAAUUACUGGGCGUAAAGGGCUGGUAGGCGGCCAACUAAGUCGGAUGUGAAAUCCCCGGGCUCAACCUGGGAACUGCAUCCGAUACUGGAUGGCUUGAAUUCGGGAGAGGGAUGCAGAAUUCCAGGUGUAGCGGUGAAAUGCGUAGAUAUCUGGAGGAAUACCGGUGGCGAAGGCGGCAUCCUGGACCGACAUUGACGCUGAACAGCGAAAGCUAGGGGAGCAAACGGG